AGAGUUUGAUCCUGGCUCAGAACGAACGCUGGCGGCAGGCCUAACACAUGCAAGUCGAGCGCCCAGCAAUGGGAGCGGCGCACGGGUGCGUAACACGUGGGAACGUCCCCUUGGGUGCGGAACAACGUAGGGAAACUUACGCUAAUACCGCAUAAUAUCUCCGGAUCAAAGAUUUAUCGCCCAGGGAUCGGCCCGCGUCUGAUUAGCUAGUUGGUGAGGUAAUGGCUCACCAAGGCUACGAUCAGUAGCUGGUCUGAGAGGAUGAUCAGCCACACUGGGACUGAGACACGGCCCAGACUCCUACGGGAGGCAGCAGUGAGGAAUAUUGGACAAUGGAGGCAACUCUGAUCCAGCCAUGCCGCGUGAGUGAUGAAGGCCUUCGGGUUGUAAAGCUCUUUCAGAUGUGAAGAUGAUGACGGUAACAUCAGAAGAAGCCCCGGCUAACUUCGUGCCAGCAGCCGCGGUAAUACGAAGGGGGCGAGCGUUGUUCGGAAUCACUGGGCUUAAAGCGUGCGUAGGCGGAUAUAUAAGUCAGAAGUGAAAUCCCGGGGCUCAACCCCGGAACUGCUUUUGAGACUGUAUGUCUGGAAUCCGGUAGAGGUUGAUGGAAUAUCCAGUGUAGAGGUGAAAUUCAUAGAUAUUGGAUAGAACACCAGUGGCGAAGGCGAUCAACUGGGCCGGUAUUGACGCUGAGGUACGAAAGCGUGGGGAUCAAACAGGAUUAGAUACCCUGGUAGUCCACGCCGUAAACUAUGUGUGCUAGCUGUUGGGACUCUUAGAGUCUCGGCGACGGAGGGAAACCAUUAAGCACACCGCCUGGGGAGUACGGCCGCAAGGUUAAAACUCUAAGGAAUUGACGGGGACCCGCACAAGCGGUGGAGCAUGUUCUUUAAUUCGACGCAACGCGAAGAACCUUACCCACACUUGACAUCCUUCUUUGGAGGGGCAGAGACGCCCCUUUUCGGUUCGGCCGGGGAAGUGACAGGUGCUGCAUGGCUGUCGUCAGCUCGUGUCGUGAGAUGUUGGGUUAAGUCCCGCAACGAGCGCAACCCUUAUCGUCUGUUGCCAUCAUUAAGUUGGGCACUCUGACGAGACCGCCGGUGACAAGCCGGAGGAAGGUGGGGACGACGUCAAGUCAUCAUGGCCCUUACGUGUGGGGCUAGAAACGUGCUACAAUGGCGGUGACAGUGGGCACCGAGGCAGUGAUGCCAAGGAAAUCCCUAAAAGCCGUCUCAGUUCGGAUUAUUCUCUGCAACUCGAGAGUAUGAAGCUGGAAUCGCUAGUAAUCGUGGAUCAGCAUGCCACGGUGAAUACGUUCCCGGGUCUUGUACACACCGCCCGUCACGUCAUGGGAGUUGGUUCUACCUGAAGAUGGUGCGCUAACCGCAAGGGGGCAGCCAGCCACGGUAGGGUCAGCGACUGGGACGAAGACGUAACAAGGUA
rnacentral:rRNA from 1 species